rnacentral:lncRNA from 1 species
UCCAACAGGAAGAAACCCAAAAGGGAGUGGGAAGGAACCUAACCUUCAUAGUCAACAACACAUAUGACCCAACAACUAACCCUGCUGAAGCAAGAAGGUUAAGAUACAAGGAGUGGUAAACUCAGAGUCAUUGAACAAAGAGAUUUAGAUGGUUCAAAGAAGUUUAAUCUAAGAAGGGAUAGAAUAAACCAUAACAUCAAAAUAAAAAUGUAGGAACAAACGUGGAUGAGAGAGAGAAAGAACUCAUCCUAUUCCCCAUCACCAAACUCUUCGUCGGGAUUCUUCCUUUGCUUUUCAGAUUUUCAUACAUCAUGCCUAGGUAAACAGUAAACCCAACAUUGAGAUCAAAUCAUCAAAGAACCAAAAAAUAGGGGGAAGAAGAUGGCGAGACGCAGAUGUGCAACCUAGAUUGGGGACGAUGACGAGGGCC